UUUUUAACUAUCUUUGCCUUCAAUUCUCAUAUAUGAGUUAUAAUACAUUUUAAAUAUGGACUGGUAUUCACAUAUAGGCCUAGAACAUGAAUAUUUGGGUUGUUUAUAAUAAAAACCUCUCUAUAAAAGAAGUUCUUGAAAAUAAACAACCUAUCAAGUUAAAUGUUUUCAGAGUGACUUCUGGUCUUCAAUGAAGUCUUAAUGGAACAUUUUUGAGCUGCUGCUUAGGAGAGUGGAAAAAAGGCACUGGGGUGAGCAGGAGGUAUUUGAAUUCUGUUCAGGCUCCACGACCACAAGGAAGACUUGGGCCCUGUCACCUGUAGGUGUCUCUCACUCUCACUCUGCUAUCAAAACUGGGGUGACGGGGCUGGCAUGGGCACAGCUGUCUCCUACAAAGGCCUACUGACACAUCACCCACUAGGAAACCCAUUCUUAUCUGAGUGAGGCAAUACAAAAUCAUUUACAUAAAGGUUAGCAAAUGUAAUUCACAAAUGAGGGGUAGUUCUUUUGAUAUUGUGGACAUUUUAUCUGCAUUGACACAAACAUCCUAGUUAUUGUAUACUAGUAUAUCAGAGUCCAGAGAGAGAAGGCAAAAUAAGUGACUUUGGUCUAAAAGUGCAUCAAAAGUUUACAAACAUGGUUUCUAA
rnacentral:lncRNA from 1 species